CUACCCCCUAAAAGCCAAAAUGGGAAAGGAAAAGACUCAUAUCAACAUUGUCAUCACUGGACAUGUAGAUUCGAGCAAGUCCACCACUACUGGCCAUCUGAUCUACAAAUGUGGUGGCAUCGACAAAAGAACCAUUGAAAAAUUUGAGAAGGCGGCUGCUGAGAUGGGAAAGGGCUCCUUCAAGUAGGCCUGGGUCUUGGAUAAAGUAAAAACUGAGGGUGAACGUGGUAUCACCAUUGAUAGCUCCUUGUGGAAAUUUGAGACCAGAAAGUACUACGUGACUAUCACUGAUGCCCAGGACACAGAGACUUCAUCAAAAACAUGAUUACAGGGACAUUUCGGGCUGACUGUGCUGUCAGGAUUGUUGCUGCUGGUGUUGGUGAGUUUGAAGCUGGUAUCUCCAAGAAUGGGCAGACCCAAGAGGAUGCCCUUCUGGCUUACACACUGGGCAUGAAACAAUUAAUUGUUGAUGUUAACAAAAUGGAUUCCACCGAACCACCCCACAGCCAGAAGAAAUAUGAGGAAGUCAUUAAGGAAGUCAGCACUUGCAUUAAGAAAAUUGGCUAAACCCCGACACAAGAGCAUUCCUGCCAAUUUCUGGUUGGAAUGGUGACAACAUGCUGGAGCCAAAUGCUAUCAUGCCUUGGUUCAAGGGAUGGAAAUGCCAUAAGGAUGGCAAUGCCAGUGGAGCCACGCUGCUUGGGGCUCUGGACUGCAUCCUACCACCAACCCAUCCAACUGACAAGCCCUUGGGCAUAUACCUCUCCAGAAUGUCUACAAAAUUGGUGGUAUCGGUACUGUUCCUGUUGGCCAAGUGAGGACCUGGUAUGGUGGUCACCUGUGCUCCAGUUAGCAUCACAACUAAAGUAAAAUCUGUCAAAAUGCACCAUGAAGCUUUGAGUGAAGCUCUUCCUGGGGAUAAUGUGGGCUUCAAUGUAAAGAAUGUGUCUGUCAAGGAUGUUCAUCAUGGCAACAUUGCUUGUGACAGCAAUGACCCACCAAUGGAAGCAGCUGACUUCACUGCUCAGAUGAUUAUCCUAGACCAUCCAGGCCAAAUCAGUGCUUGACUAUGCCCCUGUACUGGAUUGCCACAUGACUCACACUGCAUGCAAGUUUGCUGAGCUGAAGGAAAAGAUUGAUGGCUGUUCUGGUAAAAAGCUGGAAGAUGGCCCAAAAUUCUUGAAUUCUUGCUGCCAUCAUUGAUAUAGUUCCUGGAAAGCCCACGUGUGUUUAGAGCUUCUCAGACUAUCUACCUCUGGGUCACUCUGCUGUUCAUGAUGUGAAACAAACAGUUGCCAUAGGUGUCAUCAAAGGAGUGGACAAGAAGGCUGUUGGAGCUGGCAAGGUCACCAAGUCUGCCCAGAAAGCUCAGAAGGCUAAAUGAAUAUUAUCCCUAAUACCUGCCACCCCGGUCUUAAACAGUGGUGGACGAACAGUCUCAGAACUGUUUGUUUGAAUUGGCCAUUUAAGUUUAGUAGUAAAAGACUGGUUAAUGAUAACAAUGCAUC